AGCACUAUGCUCUCUCCUGCUUGUGCUUAUUGGAGCUGGCAGUUGUCCCAUCGGAGACAGUGGUACCGGGAACAAUAAGUCCCUGGCCACUGCAAAGGCCUCUGGAGUUGAAGGCACCACAAUUUCACUGGCGCCUUGAUGAUUUCCCAAUGUUGGAGGGAGAUCCUGCAUCGGACUCAACGGUGCUGCCACGGGACUGGAGGUAGAAUGCCAGGCCAUGGUGGACAUCAAGGAAGUUAAGUCUCUUAUCUUCAGAAGACGCAUGGGGCGGUUUGUCCAAGCGGGCCAGGGAAGAAUUGGCACGAAUACGGGACCGGCAUCAUUGGCAUACCCCAAGGAUUCCAGAAUGACCAUUGAGCAGGCCACUGUCCCUGCUGCCAUGCCACCACUGCAGAUGCCGCGCCAGUCUCACAGGCCAGCAGUGAUUCAACCCUUCUUGGCUGAACUCCUGCUCUGACUCAGACCAUUGCCUCCCCGAUGACUAGGGCAGAGCUGUGGAAGCGUGAAUCUACCAACUGACCCUCGCCGGUGAUCGCUGAGAAGAGGGUGAGGAUCAGUGCCUGCUCAACGAGUGGUAUCAGAGAGGUCAUGCAACCAAAUGAAGGACAAUUCCAACUCAGGCCACGUGGCAGUAGAGAAGCAACUGGAGAGGCGCUGACCUGCACUGCCUCUUAUUUGGUUGGGUGCAAAAGGAUAGUCAUUACACAUGUGUGGACCAAGACACUGCUUUGAAGAAUUUUUAGACUUGAGUGCAUGGCGCACAUGUGCACCCCACAUGUAGAACACACACAGAGAUCAUCACUCAAAGAAGAGCGGUUGCUGUAACCUCUGGAUAGGCUAGUCCUUUCAAGACUCCCCUGACCAUAGAGGGGUAGUGGUGGUGGUUAUGGGGAGGACUGGUCUUGAAAGGCCGAGAUGGACACCAGAUGAAUUUUAAUUAGCUCAUUGGUAGGCCUGAUUCUUUCAGUUCUAGUAGGUGUUCUAAUAUCUUGAAUCUAUAAAGCAGAUGGAGACACGGCAUCCAGAUCAAGAACCUUUUCCACUUAGGUAGGUAGCUGUUAUGGA